AAUCACUCUGCGUAAAGGCUGCAGAAGUUCCUUAAACGGACUUUUAAACACCUUAAGUUCCAGUCUCCAUCAUGUUAAGGGUCAGAGGAGUAUGAUAGCGAGGAACAUUUUCUGCUUUCUGUCCUGUAGAGCUGCUGGCAUUUCAUGAAACCAGUUGUGUAGUGUAUGCAGUGGAAGUGGUCUGGUCCGUGUGGUUAUGGAGGGGUUUUGGGCUGUGUUUUCCCCUGUGCUGAGGGUCUGGUUCACCAGUUUGGUGGUCCUGAUCAUGCUGCCUGCCAUGUUUGGGAUCUCGCUUGGCAUCACUGAGACCUACAUGAAGAUCCUUAUCAAAACCUUAGAGCUUUGCCUGCUGUUUUUGCAGUGGGCAACACACAGAAUCCAAAGGGCGAGUAGAGCAGAGGAGAUACUGAAACAUUCCGCAUCAAAUGGUGAGUUUAUACAGCUACAGUCACAGACACAU
rnacentral:lncRNA from 1 species